GGUUGUGGCUCAGUGGUACAGCACUUGCUUAGCAUGUGUGAAGCACUGGGUUCAAUUCUCAGCAUCA
rnacentral:tRNA from 1 species